rnacentral:lncRNA from 1 species
CCACUUAUCCGCUUAGUAAUUACUUCGGGGCAUCUUGGUACCAACUACAGCGAUACUUAGGUUGCGUUUCGAGUACCAUUAGUAUGUAACAUGAUACUAAGUGAUAUACUAAGCGGCCUAUUAAGAAUAGUACCAAGUAGCUAUGAAGGACAUACGAAGUGGUUAGCACCAAGAUGAUAUUAAGAAGGUAGGUAUCAAGUGGCGGCGUUCCGUGAGUGUAUGCUCCCUUGCUAGAGCGCUGUCAAUCUCUGAGCACGCGGAAGGAAAACACAGUUGUUUGAUUACAUAUCUAUAACAUCUACAAGGGCGACCGCUUUUUGUUGGCGCGAAAUUAUGCAACGAGGCCCUUCAUCGCACUCUGCUGGACAAGGGCCUUCACGUUUCAUCGCCUGCAGCUAUUUUUCUUGCACCGGAGACUUUUCAUGAAAACUCAAAUGCUUCGCCUUCAUCUCGCCAUGAGCCUAAUCCGCGUUUUCCUGUUUCUUAGUCCUAGUCCUAGUCCUAGUCCUAGCUAGGGGGCCAAAGGGUAGGGCAGCGUUGGGCUAGGGGGGCGCAGGGGAGGGCACCGUUGGGCUAGGGGGGCGCUAGGGGCGGCCCCCUAGCUAGUCCUAGUCCUAGUCCUAGUCCUAGUUAUUACCAGUACUGGUAAUAACUGGAAUUCAGCCUGAACUACGUAUAUUGAACCGCCCUGCACUGAGUCUUGCUACGUUGAAGCAAGGAAUAACGCCAAAGACAGAGCAGACGCACGUCAGAUGACAAACAUAAAAUGCAGGCAGGACCGGAGUUGGGCCAUCAUACACAACGUUAACAUACAUACCAGGCGUGAACUCCGGCCGUGGCGGUGCCCCAUUCAAAACACCUGUCGGAUAAAUAAUAACGGACACAUCAAGAUAUAUACAUUGGGCAGGCGGCUGGCAGAGGUUAAGGCCUGACUUCUGCUCCCAGUCGACCCAGUCGACCCGGGUUCAAAUCCGCCUGCCGGCUCCUCGGGUGUUUGAGGAGUGAUGAAAUGGGAGGUGGCCCCCCAUCUUAUGGACGGUGUAGGACGUGAUAAUAUCAACUUGCGAGCUGACCAGGAACUAAGUUGAUGCGCCGUUGAUCCGCUAGAUUUGGUUGGAUGCUGGUGGUGAGUUGCCGAACCCAACGAAUACAUUCUGAAGUCGGAUGGGGUGACGGAUUAGGGUGCCCCUCUAGCAGGGGAGAGCAGGGACUGCCCCGGGAAAGGGGGCCGCUGGCGAAGUUAACCACCCUGUAACAACAUACAUUGGUCUGGUCUGGUCGACACUAUUGUCUUGUUCAGUUUAAGGUCCUGGGUCCAAUUCCUGGGGAGACCCCGGACAUUGUCGGGAGCGUGAGAUUAUGGCUAGCUGCUGAGAUGUGGAGUUCAGGUCACAGUUGAUGGAUCGAGAUUCGCACGCUAGAUUGGUGGCAAUUGCUGAAUCCGGAUCGGCGGCGGCUCAACUCCAUUCCUGGUCAGCUCGCAAGUCAGCUUCAUCCCAGGUCACCACCGUCCAUCGACUAGGGGCACUUUACCUUCCACCAUCGGAUGGAUUUCCGACCCUGACCGGUCUCGAUCCCGGGAUCUUCGGGGGGCAAUGGUCCGUGCCUUACCAGUAGUAGCAGUAGUGCCUAACCUAGUAUUACAUGUGUAUGCAUGCAUGCAAGUAUACAUAGGAUCUAUUGUGUGCAUGGAUUGUAUAUACAUGCAUAUAUUCAUCUAUUUACCGUCGCCGAUGAACGGGCACCAGGAUUCAUUGUUAGAAGUUGCUGCUGUGCGCUAACACUGCAUACAGUUGCGCAACUGUCAAGGACAUCUCCAGUAAACACUAUCACCCAGCGAUGCACCUACCGUAACAUCGAACACCCACGUCCUGCGAACAGAAAAUCGCAAAUAAUAAAUGUGCAGGCGGAAACACUGGUUGAUGCAUUAGCUACAUAACUACAUAGCUAUUUUCAACCUGAUCAGAAGAUUUCUGCUGAGAAAAAUAAAGCAAGAUGUAGUAGCCGGCCAUUCGUGAAAAGGCUGAUAUUUUUUUAAGUAGAGCGUCUAGAAAACUAAGGUUUUCUGCGAAUUCGAAGUGCCACUGUACGAUGUACGGACUUGUGUGGUUAUGUGUUGCUGAAUUUGUGCUGGUUACUUCGGGUUUGCGUAGCUACGUUUAAAC